GUCAACUUUCCCGCUGAUCUGCAGCUCGUACGCCUCUCUCUGGCUCUCAUCCGCAGCGGUCACCACCACCACGUCCCAGAACUCACCGGGCUGCACCUCCCGGCCUUCACAAAGAGAAAAAACACACAACAACCAGGUCUGACAGGAGGUGGAACGUCUGCUCCGCCGGUACACUGACGUGCAUCUCCACUUUGAAACACAGCACGUGGUUUUCCUCCAGCGUGUACAGCCUGACCUAAGAAUGGAGCACAUCAACAGAGAGGAGACUGUGCACCAAAGUCUGCUCAGCUGUGAUAUGCCGCUCUGCCAAGUCAUGUGCUGCUGAGGACUGAGUAUCGUAAACAAUGGAUUCUGUAGAACAACAGUGGACAAACGACUUCCAGUGCUUAUACUGAAACAUGUAAUAUGAUCCAUGCUUCUUCCACUGUUUGUUGGUUUUGUAAUGGUUUACAAUGACUCAUCUUGCAUAUAAUGUUGCUUAGUGGCGUUCUAUAUAUAUAUAUAUCUACAUAUCUAUAUAUGAUGUUGGGUUUUAAAGGCGUGAAAUUGAUGGAAACUGAAUGGCACUUUCAUAAAUCAAAUAAAACUGUUUCUGUUUGA